rnacentral:sRNA from 1 species
UGCAUCGGGCAUAGCGAGCCGGAAACC